rnacentral:rRNA from 1 species
GACGAACGCUGGCGGCGUGCCUAAUACAUGCAAGUUGAGCGCUGAAGGAUGGUACUUGUACCAACUGGAUGAGCAGCGAACGGGUGAGUAACGCGUAGGUAAUCUGCCUGUUAGCGGGGGACAACAUUUGGAAACGAAUGCUAAUACCGCAUAAAAACUUUAAACACAUGAUUUAAGCUUGAAAGAUGCAAUUGCAUCACUACAAGAUGAUCCUGCGUUGUAUUAGCUAGUUGGUGAGGUAAAGGCUCACCAAGGCGAUGAUACAUAGCCGACCUGAGAGGGUGAUCGGCCACAUUGGGACUGAGACACGGCCCAAACUCCUACGGGAGGCAGCAGUAGGGAAUCUUCGGCAAUGGACGAAAGUCUGACCGAGCAACGCCGCGUGAGUGAAGAAGGUUUUCGGAUCGUAAAACUCUGUUGGUAGAGAAGAACGUUGGUGAGAGUGGAAAGCUCAUCAAGUGACGGUAACUACCCAGAAAGGGACGGCUAACUACGUG